rnacentral:lncRNA from 1 species
GGCGAGGCAGCGAUCGUGCGGGUGGCCACGUUGCCGCCCACCGGGGAGUAGGAGGCGGCGGCGAUCAGGGUUUGGAGGCCGAGGGGGCAGCAGGCGGCGGCGUCGCGGGCCUCGGCGGCGGGGAGGAGGAGCAUCGCAGAUUCGCCGCGUACGGUGGCGUGGCGGAUUGGGAGGUCUCUCUCCCGGCUAUAUCAAGGUCGCGGAACCCGACGCCCUCCGAGUUGGACUCGGCGCGGCGUCCUU